rnacentral:misc_RNA from 1 species
GAGGAUCAACUAUUCUCAACUGGCACAAAUAUUUUGGCUACACAAAAAUGGGAUUGUAGUAUUACGUCUAUCUAUCAACUAUUCUAAAUCUUACAAAGGAAUAGUUUUUAGGUUGUUUUUUUUUAAAAUUUAUGCCUCUCAAAAACCAACUCAUAUCUCUAGCGGCGCCAUAAUCGACCAUGCUGCUUUUGCUCUUGCAUACGCCUUUGGUGCUCUUUAGAUCGCUCAACAAACUCUUUAGGAAUAUCACGUCCUUGGUAUGAAGCUAAUACAGCUCGGAUAUCAGCUGGCCUGUGUUUAGCAACGUAUUCAAGAAAUGGAAUAAGAUCCAAAAGCACAGUAUCGUCAGCCUCUCCUUUCCAAGGUUUUAUUUCUAAGCAAUUUUCUGGUUGUAGGCUACUUUCUAGUGCAUGUCCACUCAAAUAUAUUAUCUUUGAGGGAUCCCGAUUCAACUUGGAAAGAUCUCUGAAAUGUUUGCCAUCAACAUAUCUAGUAUCACCUCUUGAUAGUCUGUACCGGAUGCAGUGCUUUGGAUCCAAUCUUUCGAUAACAGGAUCAACAUACAUGCUUAGUUGAUCAGAAUAUACGACAAUCUCAAAGUAUUGAGCCAAAUAUUCCAAAAAAUCCUCAACCCCAGGUCUUUUGAAUGUUCUCCAGCCUCUGUCACGCUUCCAAUCAGAGUAUAUCAAUGUUUCACUAAGAUCGAGAACAAGAGUGAAGACAUGUUGCUCAAGUGGAUGCAAAUCUGGCAGGAGCUUGUCUGAUGUUGGUUCACUAAAACCUCGAACUUGGUCUUCUGUCAACCGCCUUAACUCAAUGUAUAACUCAACUAACUUCGCAGGCACUGUCAUCGCCGAGGAGUAUAGUAAAGCUUGAAAUUUAUCCAAAGCAGAUGCAUCAUCUCCAACAGCAUAUUUCGCAGAUUCACGCAAACUUUUGGUCUUAUCCUCAAUUUCAUCCGUUGUGUAUGCAUAGGUAGCGUAACCAGCUGUGGCAACACCACCGGUAACAGCAGCAAUAACACUGUACUUGAGAAAACUCCAUGAUUUAUUCUCAGCUACAGAAGAUUCCAGAGGAGGAGGAGGAUUCUGAGAUGGCGGAGCCUGAUCUUUGAGCAGAGAAGACGAUGAAAUUAUCGGUUCCUUUGGAGGUUCUGAAGCUACACUUGAAGAAAAUCGCCGAUUGCUCCUUGAAAUUAUGGAGAAGAUGCGCGAUUUCG